rnacentral:rRNA from 1 species
UACGUAGGGCGCAAGCGUUGUCCGGAAUUAUUGGGCGUAAAGCGCGUGUAGGCGGCUUUGCAAGUCGGGUGUGAAAGCCCUCAGCUUAACUGAGGAAGUGCGCCCGAAACUGCAGAGCUUGAGUACCGGAGAGGGUGGCGGAAUUCCCCAAGUAGAGGUGAAAUUCGUAGAUAUGGGGAGGAACACCGGUGGCGAAGGCGGCCACCUGGACGGAUACUGACGCUGAGGCGCGAAAGCGUGGGUAGCAAACAGG